GCGACUCUGACACAGUGGGAAGAGUAUUCGUCUUGCAAUCCAAAUGUUGUGGUUCAAUUCCAGAUGUCGCA
rnacentral:tRNA from 1 species